UCAUAUACUUUGCAUAAAAUAAUUAAUACCGGGUGAAGCUCUAUAAUGAAAAAACCAAAUAAAGCAUGAAACCUAAAUACUAAAAAGAAACUGGGUAGAAAAAAAUUAUAAUAGAAUUACAAAGAAAAGUUAUCUAACAGUUAAAAAAAUGUAUUAAAAUAAAAGAAAGAAUCAUGGAGAGAGAAUAUUAAAAAUUGAAAAGUUUAAUUUAAUUAAAUUCAUUUUAUAAUUUAAUUUAAUUUUAAUUUAAAAGUAUCAUGUGUUACAAAAUGAAUUGGUUAAGAGAUUUUUUUUAACGGUGAGGGUAAUUUGGGUAAUAGAAUAUAGUUUAGGUACUACUAGUGAUAAAAAAAGUUUGAGUACCAAUUUAAAAAAAAUGAUAU
rnacentral:lncRNA from 1 species